UAGGGAAUAUUGCACAAUGGGCGAAAGCCUGAUGCAGCAACGCCGCGUGCGCGAAGAAGGCCUUCGGGUUGUAAAGCGCUUUUCUGGGAGAUGAGGAAGGACAGUAUCCCAGGAAUAAGGCUCGGCUAACUACGUGCCAGCAGCCGCGGUAAAACGUAGGAGCCAAGCGUUAUCCGAAUUCACUGGGCGUAAAGCGCAUGCAGGCGGCCUGAUAAGUUGGAUGUGAAAUCUCCUGGCUCAACUGGGAGAGGCCGUUCAAUACUGUUGGGCUCGAGGGCGACAGAGGGAGGUGGAAUUCCGGGUGUAGUGGUGAAAUGCGUAGAUAUCCGGAGGAACACCAGAGGCGAAGGCGACCUCCUGGGUCGUACCUGACGCUCAGACGCGAAAGCUAGGGGAGCGAACGG
rnacentral:rRNA from 1 species